ensembl:processed_transcript
AAAAGUUAAACAAAAAAGACUUUUAUUUUGGCAUGGCGUGUGACGUCAUCAGGCGGCGCCGCUUCAGUGCUGUAAUUCAACUGGAGGAAGGAUAAAGUGUCCAAACACAGAGAAAAACUCCUCCAGAAUCGACUGAUCUCCACACUGUUAUAAAGAUGGCGUUUAUUAAAGAGGAGAGUGAAGAUGUGAAGAUUGAAGAAACAUUCACAGUCAAACAGGAAGAUCCACAGGAACAAACAGUCCUAAUUGAAGAGAAUGAGGGGAGUAAAGAGGAGGAACAUCAUGUCAAAAUUGAGGAAAAAACUCAUUUACAGACUGAUGGUAUUUUUAAAAGGAAAAACAAGAAUCAUUUCACCUGCACUCAGUGUGGGAAGAGCUUUGGAAAAAAACACAUUCUUAAGAUUCACAUGAGGAUUCACACUGGAGAGAAACUAUUCACAUGUACUCAGUGUGGGAAGAGUUUCAGCCGCUUAUCAUCCCUUAACCUACACAUGAUGAUUCACACUGGAGAGAAACCAUUCACAUGCACUCAGUGUGGGAAGAGUUUUUACUGCUCAUCAAACCUUUAUAGACACAUGAGGAUCCACACUGGAGAGAAACCAUUCAAAAGCACUCAGUGUGGGAAGAGUUUAAGCCUGUCAUCAAACUUUAAUCCACACAUGAGGAUUCACGCUAGAAAGAAACUAUUCACAUGCACUCAGUGUGGGAAGAGUUUGAGCAAACCAUCAUCCCUUAAUCUACACAUGAUGAGCCACACCGGAGAGAAACCAUUCACAUGCACUCCAUGUGGGAAGAGUUUCAGCCGCUCAUCAUCCCUUAAUCUACACAUGAUGAUUCACACUGGAGAGAAACCAUUCACAUGCACACAGUGUGGGAAAAGUUUUUACUGCUCAUCAAACCUUUAUAGACACAUGAGGAUCCACAAUGGAGAAAAACCAUUCACAUGCACUCAGUGUGGGAAGAGUUUCAGCCAAUCAUUAUCCCUUA